rnacentral:rRNA from 1 species
AAGGAUCAUUAUCGAGUUUUGAACGGGUUGUCUGCUGGCUCGCGAGAGCAUGUGCACGCCUGUCUCAUCCACUCUCAACUUCUGUGCACUUUUCAUAGGCCGGCUUGUGGGUGCGUUCGCGCACUUGUAGGUGUCGGGCUUAUGCUUUACUACAAACGAUUCAGUUUUAGAAUGUCAUACUUUGCUAUAACGCAAUUUAUAUACAACUUUCAGCAACGGAUCUCUUGGCUCUCGCAUCGAUGAAGAACGCAGCGAAAUGCGAUAAGUAAUGUGAAUUGCAGAAUUCAGUGAAUCAUCGAAUCUUUGAACGCACCUUGCGCUCCUUGGUAUUCCGAGGAGCAUGCCUGUUUGAGUCUCAUGGAAUUCUCAACCUUCGGCUUCAUUGACGAAGGUUGGACUUGGAGGUCGUGCCGGCUCUCGUAGUCGCUCCUCUGAAAUGCAUUAGUGCGAACGUUACCAGCCGCUUCAGCGUGAUAAUUAUCUGCGUUGCUGUGGAGGGUAUCCUAGUGUCCGCGCUUCCAACCGUCUUCGGACAAAUUUCUGAACUCUGAGCUCAAAUCAGGUAGGACUACCCGCUGAACUUAAG